GAAGAGAGAUUGUGCAACUUUAAACAAAUAUAUACAAAAGAAAGCAAAAACAAAUAUAAUUAUAAUAAGGGACUCGCACAAAUGUUAGUAAACCAUAGUUCACAUAGAUCUAAUAACAAAGCACUUUGACAAAAAUUAUGUCAACAUUAAGAUUUUAUUUUUACACAACAAUGUUUAGAUUACCUUUCAAUUAUAACUUCUUACUAGUUUUCUGUUCAUUUUCCUAGUUUUUUUUGGCUAACAACAGAACCAAACAUUACCUUCACAAGCAGAAAAACAACUAUUGUUUUCACCAAACCUAUCAAAAGAGAAACUAGGAUCAAUAAUUAACAUAAACCAUUAAUCAAAAAGAGAGACAUAUCAUAAGAUCUGGAUAUUAUUAUAUACAUACCACGUAGAUCUGAAGAGAAAUGGGUGGAUCUGAAGAUUAUUAUUUACCAUGUAGAUCUGAUAUGCCUCUUUGUUCCUCAAUGAUGAGCAGCUUUAUAUAUUUCUUCUUGUGUAUACCAUGAUAGAAAAACAAAAAGAAAAUCGUUAAGAGUUGUGAAAACUUAAAACGAAAAACACGGUAAAGAAAUCAAACACGAAGAAAAUGGAGGAGAUGGAUGGUAGGUACUUUGAGUUCAACGGCGGUGGCGGGAUGUGACGGCGGAGAACGAGUUGAGAAAACGAAGGAGAAGCAGCGAAUUGAUGGCAGCGGCUGAGUUUUUCACUAUGCUGCUAGGGUNNN
rnacentral:lncRNA from 1 species